CGGCCAUGUGGGUGCACAGAUUCAGCUCUGAUUAGGCUAACAAAGGUUUCAUUUAUGAAAAAUCCAUGGAUGAAAUCUAUUAUCAUGUUUAAUAUAUUAGCGCGUAAAUUUGGAUCUGUCUAUGAUUUAUCUAACAUUUUAACUGAGUCACUGCAGUUGCAGCAAUGAGCAUGUGAUGUGAUUUAUUGAGAAAUUUGAAAAAGCUCUGUAGCGUCUGCAAUCAAUGGACUGACGUCCAACACACAUUUGGAAAGUGAGACCCAUUUAUUCAUGCCUUGUUUAAUGGAUCAGUGGCCAGCGCAACCAAUCUUGUCUUCAUCUGGCAUGAAUCAGGAUCCCAUAAUUGCUCACUUAAUCAUCUUAACCGCUUAACUCUACCCUAACCCACCUAAAAUCGGUCGGUCAGACGAGGAUCAUUCCGCCGGCGCCGUUUUGUUAUAUUUCACCCGUUCAGUUUGAAAGGUAAAUUUACUAAAUAUGAAAGGUAAAUUUACACUUAUGAUCCUAAAAUAACUAUAUUGAUAAGUAGAUUCUUUUUUUUGUUCUUUCGUUCUCUAUGCGCCACACACAUGCGUUGUCUUUUUAAUUGUCACAUCCAAUAGCAAGUAUACAAAAAAUGACUGGUCAUAUAUGAGUCAUGUGUGACUAGAUCUGUACUUGAUUAAAUCUAACUAUAUAUAUAAAAAAUUCCAACAAUGACCGUAUUUUUAAAAUUUAAUUACCGACGUUGCCAUUAUACAUUUAACUGAGCAGAUACCUACCCGACCCACUCACCCGAAACAUGAAGGCGAAGAAGAAAUGGUUGGAGAUGCCCCGGAGUCCGGAGACGUUCCAUUCACCAACGGAGAUGACCGGAAGAACUAAUGAUAACGAUGUUCUCCAAUCUGGUUGUGAUAUAUAGAAAAUCAGAAAUGAUCAAAUCUGUAUUUAUCAUGAAUGAAAUCUAUAAUCAAUCAUACAGUACGUGAAAGUUUGUGGCUUUCAUAUUUAUUUAUUUAUUU
rnacentral:lncRNA from 1 species